rnacentral:rRNA from 1 species
UACGAAGGGGGCUAGCGUUGUUCGGAAUCACUGGGCGUAAAGCGCACGUAGGCGGCGCGUUAAGUUAGGGGUGAAAUCCUGGGGCUCAACCUCAGAACUGCCUUUGAUACUGGCGGUCUGGAGUGUGAGAGAGGUGAGUGGAAUUCCGAGUGUAGAGGUGAAAUUCGUAGAUAUUCGGAGGAACACCAGUGGCGAAGGCGACUCGCUGGCUUCUUGCUGACGCUGAGGUGCGAAAGCGUUGGGAGCAAUCAGG